rnacentral:rRNA from 1 species
CGGGUGAGUAACGCGUGGGUAACCUGCCUCACACAGGGGGAUAGCAGUUGGAAACGGCUGAUAAUACCGCAUAAGCGCACAGUACCGCAUGGUACAGUGUGAAAAACUCCGGUGGUGCGAGAUGGACCCGCGUCUGAUUAGCUUGUUGGCAGGGUAACGGCCUACCAAGGCAACGAUCAGUAGCCGACCUGAGAGGGUGACCGGCCACAUUGGGACUGAGACACGGCCCAG